rnacentral:rRNA from 1 species
UACAGAGGUGGCGAGCGUUGUUCGGAUUUACUGGGCGUAAAGGGCGCGUAGGCGGCCGUGUGUGUGGGGUGUGAAAUCUCCGGGCUCAACCCGGAAAGUGCGCCCCAAACUGCACGGCUCGAGUUCGGGAGGGGGGAUCGGAAUACAGGGUGUAGCGGUGAAAUGCGUUGAUAUCCUGUAGAACACCGGUGGCGAAGGCGGAUCCCUGGAACGAAACUGACGCUGAGGCGCGAAAGCAAGGGGAGCAAACAGG